rnacentral:rRNA from 1 species
AGAGUUUGAUCCUGGCUCAGGAUGAACGCUGGCGGCGUGCCUAAUACAUGCAAGUCGAGCGAACAGAUAAGGAGCUUGCUCCUUUGACGUUAGCGGCGGACGGGUGAGUAACACGUGGGUAACCUACCUAUAAGACUGGAAUAACUCCGGGAAACCGGGGCUAAUGCCGGAUAACAUUUAGAACCGCAUGGUUCUAAAGUGAAAGAUGGUUUUGCUAUCACUUAUAGAUGGACCCGCGCCGUAUUAGCUAGUUGGUAAGGUAAUGGCUUACCAAGGCAACGAUACGUAGCCGACCUGAGAGGGUGAUCGGCCACACUGGAACUGAGACACGGUCCAGACUCCUACGGGAGGCAGCAGUAGGGAAUCUUCCGCAAUGGGCGAAAGCCUGACGGAGCAACGCCGCGUGAGUGAUGAAGGGUUUCGGCUCGUAAAACUCUGUUAUUAGGGAAGAACAAACGUGUAAGUAACUGUGCACGUCUUGACGGUAC